rnacentral:rRNA from 1 species
UACGUAGGCAGCGAGCGUUGUUCGGAGUUACUGGGCGUAAAGCGUGCGUAGGCGGUGGUCCAAGUCUGGUGUGAAAUCUCCCGGCUUAACUGGGAGGGUGCGCCGGAAACUGGGCCGCUGGAGUACGGGAGAGGCAAGCGGAAUUCCAGGUGUAGCGGUGAAAUGCGUAGAUAUCUGGAGGAACACCCGUGGUGCAGACGGCUUGCUGGACCGUGACUUACGCUGAGGCACGAAAGCGUGGGUAGCAAACAGG